CCUACGGGAUGCAGCAGUGGGGAAUAUUGCACAAUGGUGGAAACACUGAUGCAGCGACGCCGCGUGAGUGAAGAAGUAUUACGGUAUGUAAAGCUCUGUCAGCAGGGAAGAAAAUGACGGUACCUGACCACGAAGCCCCGGCUAACUACGUGCCAGCAGCCGCGGUAAUACGUAGGGGGCAAGCGUUAUCCGGAUUUACUGGGUGUAAAGGGAGCGUAGACGGCAGGGCAAGUCUGGAGGGAAAGGCGGGGGCUCAACCCCCGGACUGCUGUUGAAACUGCCAGGCUGGAGUGCAGGAGAGGUAAGUGGAAUUCCUAGUGUAGCGGUGAAAUGCGUAGAUAUUAGGAGGAACACCAGUUGCGAAGGCAGCUUACUGGACUGUAACUGACGUUGAGGCUCGAAAGCGUGGGUAGCAAACAGGAUUAGAUACCCUUGUAGUC
rnacentral:rRNA from 1 species